GGGCUCCAUACCAAUUGCUCUGCACAAGCUUUUAUGGCUCUUUCAGCUGCACUCAGCUUUGAUUGUGCCUGAUCAAAAUGCACAUGGCCAGCGUUGAUAAUCACUGAUGAUCAGGAGCUUUUAGGAAGCAAAUGACGGGGCCAGCGCUCGCUUGAUGGAUCAGGUCAUUAGGAGCAGCUGUUUCCCUCCUUGACUUGCUUUUUGAAGGGAAAUUGUGUUGUCGUUCUUUCUCCUGCCCCUCUGGGAAACUGUGUGAAGGGGCACAAAAGGAAGGGCAUUGGCUCAGUUCAUGAAAAUGAACCUCAGACUCCUCUGAGUUUGACCCUAUGGGGCAACAGUGCUCACUUUUUGCUAUUUCUGUCCCUCAGACCCUCCUCCCAGGUUAUCUCCAUUCCAACUCACAUUCCUUGGGUUUGAAGAGAAAUGAGCUCCUUGACUGACUUCUGGACAGGAAGUUUGGCUUCAGCAUUCAUGCUCCAGGCUCUCCCUGUGUGUUAUUUCCUUAAAAGCUAAAAAAGGGGCUUCUGGGCCAAAAAUAUGUCUCAUCAUUGUGAUAUGAACUGUAAGUCUGAACAAUGCAAAAAAGUAACCCAGAGAGUCAAUACCCCCUGUCACCAACUGCUCAUGAUACCCCUGUGCUCAGGAUCCCAAGAAAAACCAGCAGUAAACCAGAAAACAGCUUUUUCCACAUGGAAGUGGGGCUGCUUUGGAGCUGGCCCUUUCUGACUGGAGAAUACCUGGCUCCUUGGGCUCCGAGACAGCUGCGAAGUUGCGGGGAGGCUGCGGGAACAGUUCAUUAUCCAGGGCUGGGUGAAGGCGGGAGGCAGAGUUUCCCACUCCG